UACGGAGGGUGCAAUCGUUAUCCGGAUUUACUGGGUUUAAAGGGUGCGUAGGUGGACAGGAAAGUCAGUGGUGAAAUCUUCGAGCUUAACUCGGAAACUGCCAUUGAUACUAUUUGUCUUGAAUACUUUGGAGGUAAGCGGAAUAUGUCAUGUAGCGGUGAAAUGCUUAGAUAUGACAUAGAACACCAAUUGCGAAGGCAGGUUACUAACAAUAUAUUGACGCUGAUGGACGAAAGCGUGGGUAGCGAACAGG
rnacentral:rRNA from 1 species